rnacentral:rRNA from 1 species
CUUGCUUUCUUUGCUGGCGACCGGCGCACGGGUGAGUAACACGUAUCCAACCUGCCCUUUACUCGGGGAUAGCCUUUCGAAAGAAAGAUUAAUACCCGAUAGUACAAUGAUUCCGCAUGGUUUCAUUAUUAAAGGAUUCCGGUAAAGGAUGGGGAUGCGUUCCAUUAGGUUGUUGGUGAGGUAACGGCUCACCAAGCCUUCGAUGGAUAGGGGUUCUGAGAGGAAGGUCCCCCACAUUGGAACUGAGACACGGUCCAAACUCCUACGGGAGGCAGCAUG